UACGUAGGGUGCGAGCGUUGUCCGGAAUUAUUGGGCGUAAAGAGCUUGUAGGCGGUUUGUCGCGUCUGCUGUGAAAAUCCGGGGCUCAACCCCGGACUUGCAGUGGGUACGGGCAGACUAGAGUGCGGUAGGGGAGACUGGAAUUCCUGGUGUAGCGGUGAAAUGCGUAGAUAUCGAGAGGAACACCUGCGGCGAAGGCGGGUUGCUGGGCUGAUACUGACGCUGAGGCGCGAAAGCCAGGGGAGCGAACGGG
rnacentral:rRNA from 1 species